rnacentral:misc_RNA from 1 species
CUAACAAGAUGGCGGAUUUUGGCGUCAGGAUAUAGCCAAGUUUCCGUACUGUAUGUAUACUGUUUCAGGGUGGUUUCAGUGUCACUGAUUCCCCCCGUCAGCAAUCAGAUCAGAGACAGGUUUAGGUAGCGUACUCCGUACUGUACUUUAGUUGUCAUUGUCACAAAUUGUUGUGAAUGGUGAGAGAGUGAUAAUGAUAGAAACAUCUUGUUUUAAGCUUGAUGCUUAUAGCUAAUUUGAAACAUUUUUUUGUAGUGAGUGAAUUUUUUGUGAUGUAUAGUUUAUUACAGUGGUGUGCAUAAGUAAUGAGGAAUGCCGCAGAUUGAAGAUAACAUGGUCAACACGGCUAGUCCUCAAAAUUGUGUGGCGCGAGCCCUAUACGACAACAUAGCCGAGUCGCCGGAUGAGUUGGCGUUUCGCAAGGGGGACCUGCUUACUGUGCUCGAACAGAAUACCGGUGGCAUCGAGGGAUGGUGGCUUUGCUCGCUUAGGGGCAGACAGGGUAUUUGUCCUGGGAAUCGAUUACGUUUGAUAGCUGGAGUUUACGAAGGUGGUCAAGGCUGUGAUUUGGAUGUGUCCAUCCUGCAGCGACAAGGGAAGCGCCGCAGUUGGCACGUGCAACCCAACAAGGUUCUAACUCCGCAAAAGUUUGGAGACGUGUACCUGUAUGACAUGCCACCCAACAGGAAUAAUUCUCAAGCGCGGUAUGAUGUUCCUCCAACAACCCACAUCACUGUAGUUGACGGCAGCUCAGGCCGCACGUCAAGACCGAGCAGCGGAGACAGUUUGGGGGGUGACUGCUACGACACGCCUCGCACGCCCCGCGCCUGCUACGACACGCCAACGGCACGUGUUGGUGACUGCUACGACACGCCAACGACACGUGUCGGCGACUGCUAUGACACGCCUACGACUCGUGUUGGUGACUGCUACGACGUGCCGCGGCCGUUGGCUGUGCUCACUCCGUCGUCUUCUCUGAGCUCACUCACCACCGACUCACUGUCCGGAUCCAACCGGUCCAGUCUGGCGCCCGAGUACGAUGUUCCCCGCAGUCGACCCUCCUACACCGCCCCACACUCUCAACAGUUGUAUGAUGUUCCUCCGACGAAUCCAGUGCCCCGAGAGUUGCCUUUGGAACUGGGCUCGGCGCUCGAAUCGCUGGCUCGGCUCGAAACAGAAGCCACCUCAGCCAUAUCGCGGCUACUGGGCUAUGCUGGCCCACAAUGGAGAGAAAAAGAAAGACUCGAACCUCGUCUCAUGGACAUUAAACUAGCUGUGCUAAGGCUUCGUACAUCUCUUCACGAUUUGGCCGAAUUUGGCGAAGGAGCUCUAGGAAAUGCUGCCAAAGCUGCUGAUAAGAGUUUGUGUGGGAAGCUGCAACCGCUGGUGAAAGCGCUGCGCACAGGUGACAAGCUGGUGCAGGAAACGUGCAACUCGCUGGAGUCGAUGAACUGGUCGGUCGACCAAUUGUGUCGAGUCGACAGCGAUGGGAACCAACUGCCCGACGCACUCGAUCAGCUGGUCGCCACUGCCAAGGCUCUCACCGAGGACGUCAAGCAAACCGCAUCUUUCAUUCAGGGCAACUCAACACUACUAUUCAAACGAGGCGCAACAUCGCCGAACAGAGGCGAGUGGCUGGACGACUAUGACUACGUGAAUCUGGAGUCGAAGGACAGUGUUGCCAAGCAGCAUGCCGAGAUAAGCGAGUCACUGCCGCCCGAACUGAGCAAGUCUUACGAUGCCCUUGUGCGCGAGGCUGAGGCAGUUGCCAUCUCCAAUAGCCACCCCAAAGCUGAUGACAGUGAUCGACAGGUACUGGUAUUCUACAUGGCGCAGUGUUCAACGCACACAUCACACUUGACGCAUGCAAUCGACGCCUUCCUGCAGACGGUGGAGCACAACCAGCCACCGAAGGUGUUCCUGGCACACGGUAAGUUCGUGGUGCUCAGUGCACACCGGCUGGUGCACAUUGGCGAUUCCGUGCACAGAAACGUGUCUCGCACUGAUGUGCGCAAUAAAGUGCUGCAGUGCGCCAACCAGCUCUCCGAGGCGUUGGCGACAACUGUCCACAAAACAAAAAUGGCGGCUCUACAAUUUCCCAGCGUAACUGCUGUUCAAGAAAUGAUUGACUCUGUUGUUGAUAUCUCGCAUCUUGCGCGCGAUUUGAAGAUGACAUUGGUUGCAGCUGUACAGCAACAAAUGUAAUUCAUUGAUUAUUUUACUAUAACAAUUACUAUUUAAACUUUUGCUAUUUUCCUACUAGAAUGGUAUUCCAUGCCCAUGUCAUUCCAAUGGCAGCCAUUCAUUUGCAUGACUAUGAUUCAUGGUUGAGUAACUCCAUAAGUUUACCGAGAAGCAACUCAGUUUUGUAUUUGUAUAAUCUAUUAUUCCACUGGAUGAAAUUAAAAAAGUAUAAAAUUGAGCUCAAUCAAGUAUAUACUUUAAAAUCAAAAUAGAUAUAUGUGGAGAAGGAAGAAGAUGUGUUUGAAGAACAUAAGUGUGAAUCUGAACGCCUCAAGGACGAGUGAAACUUAUAGAGUAGGUCAACCAUAAAUAAUCUGUCAUGCAGCUUUUCAAAGUAUGGAGUAUUUAUAUAAGAUAUAAGGGGUAUUCACAAUUUCCAACAAAGCUAGCUUACUCGUGUCAUUUGAUAAAUUGUUAUUCGAUAAGUUUGAAAUCAGCCUGGUGAUAGUUCAUUGGAAAAAUCAGGAUAGCAGAUCAUGCCGGUUUGAGUUCGUGAAUUUGCCUAUAUUCGUUAAAUCAUGGAUUUACUAUUACCGUGAUUAACUUAUCGUUAGUCACGCAACUUUUGUUAAUCAACUUAUACAGUUCCAGCAAGUUGGAAUGUUGGAACAACACAGUGAAUGCCCCUAACGUAAACUCAUGGUUGUCUAUUGCUGUGUGUAACUAGUACCUACUUAUUUCAACAUAGUGUAAUAUUUAUAGUUAUUGUAAAUAUUAAAACAUCAUCACUUAGAACAAUGAUAUUGACAAAGACCAUUUUUCUUUUUCCACCCCACAUCUGCCAAAACCUUCAAAUUUAUUUAUACAUUGAUAGAUACAAUAUCAUCAAAUACGGGAAGAAAUGAAAAAAUGCUUCCAUUUUCAUAGUUUUCAUGCUAUCUUAUCUUAGAUUUCUUGAGAACUUUAUUUAUCAAUUAAUUUUACAAAUAGUUUAUAUAUUAUUAGCUUCAGAAACAUUAAAAAAUCUUUAAAUGUAUGCGAUCUUAGAGUAUUAGUACUUAUUUGUAUUUAGUGAAAAAUUACAUGUAUAAAUUACUAAAUAUUUUACCAUAGGUGACAAAUAUGAAGAAGCUAUACUAGAUAAUAUUUAGAUUAAUGAGAAUGAAUCAUUUGUGAUGAAUUUAUUUAUUUUUGUCUAUAAUUUUAAAUUUAAGAUGAUCAUUUCCAAUAUUGAUAACUAACCACUCAUUAUUAAUGUCGCUAACGGUUUUUAACUGGAAUUUGACAAAUUUAAAAUGUUUUUCACUGAAGUGCAACAAAUCAAUUUAAUUCAAGAAAAAUGUUUCGGAACUUCUUCAAUUUCCAGAUGGAUUGGAACUAAAACUAAAUGUACUGUGCAUCACACGAAAUGAUUAUUUUUUAAAAUGUCUAGGGACUAUCUGAAAAACCUCAGACGCUUUGAGAUUUCUUCGCGCAUUACAAAACUAAACUGCGAAUGGCAUUCUAAAUCAACUAAAUGUCGCCUAGUACAAUAAUCUGCUUUGUUUUUUUUUUCAUUUACAGUAAUAGGUUUUUGUUAAUUUUCACUUGUCAAAUUAUUGUUGAAAAUAUAUUAAAUUUGAAGACUUCUUACUAAUAUGAGAAAAACUAAAAUGUGCGAUUGGUUUAAAACUGGAAACAUGCUAAUUGAUGACACAUCUAGUUCUGCACUAGACAGACCAUGAGCAGCGCAAAGUGCCACUAGCUUUAAAUGUUGCAUGAAUUGAAAAUUCCUGUAAUAUUCUUCCAACGCUUUAAUUUUAAACGUUCCUAUUUUUGUUAUGUAUUAAAAAUAAAUAAAUUUUAAUUAAUAUGAGUUUCAUAAAAAAACUAUGUUAGUAGAUGAUUAUAAAUGAUAAACUAUUCAAGACUCCAAAGGUCUUCCAAAUUCUACAACUGUUUGUGCAAUAAUGUAUUUAAAUUUAUAUGAAUGUAGCAGUCUCAUUUUUGUAAUCUCAAUAAAAUUAAUACAUCUAUUUUUUAUUGUUUUAAUGGAACUAACCCAUUUAAAAACAAUGUAUAUAAACGCAAGCUCCUAGUAUGAUUAAUGUGAGUAACUUUGAAUUUAAAAUUAUCAGACGUUAUUGAUAUUCUAAAGUUUUUCAUGUGUGAAUCAUUCAUACAGAAGUGGAUUGGAGUUGCACGGACUUAUACACAUAAAUAACUUAGCCAGAGUCGUUGUCCGUUUCGUUGGACAACAAAAUUGACUCAAUCCUUCGUCCUUUUUUAGGAUACAAAAAAAAUAACAUUGACAGUGCAUAAUAAUUUUUUGGGAGAUUUAUCAUUUAGUCAGCUAAAGAAUUCAUUGUAUGCAAUUACUACAGUAGCCGAGGUAAAUGGGAGGAAUUUACUUUA